UGACGGGGGCCCGCACAAGCGGAGGAACAUGUGGUUUAAUUUGAUGAUACGCGAGGAACCUUACCCGGGUUUGAACGCAUUCGGACCGAGGUGGAAACACCUUUUCUAGCUAUAGCCGUUUGCGAGGUGCUGCAUGGUUGUCGUCAGCUCGUGCCGUGAGGUGUCGGCUUAAGUGCCAUAACGAGCGCAACCCUUGUCACUAGUUACUAACAGGUAAAGCUGAGGACUCUGGUGGGACUGCCAGCGUAAGAUGCGAGGAAGGCGGGGAUGACGUCAAAUCAGCACGGCCCUUACAUCCGGGGCGACACACGUGUUACAAUGGCGUGGACAAAGGGAAGCCACCUGGCGACAGGGAGCGAAUCCCCAAACCAUGUCUCAGUUCGGAUCGGAGUCUGCAACCCGACUCCGUGAAGCUGGAUUCGCUAGUAAUCGCGCAUCAGCCAUGGCGCGGUGAAUACGUUCCCGGGCCUUGUACACACCGCCCGUCAAGCCAUGGGAGCCGGGGGUACCUGAAGUCCGUAACCGCGAGGAUCGGCCUAGGGUAAAACUGGUAACU
rnacentral:rRNA from 1 species